rnacentral:rRNA from 1 species
AUUGAACGCUGGCGGCAGGCCUAACACAUGCAAGUCGAGCGGAGCGGCGGACGGGUGAGUAAUGCCUAGGAAUCUGCCUGGUAGUGGGGGAUAACGUCCGGAAACGGGCGCUAAUACCGCAUACUCUCAGAUGAGCCUAGGUCGGAUUUGCUAGUUGGUGGGGUAAAGGCCUACCAGGGCGACGAUCCGUAACUGGUCUGAGAGGAUGAUCAGUCACACUGGAACGAGGACCCGGUCGAGAGUCCUACGGGUGGCAGCAGUGGGGAAUAUUGGAAAAUGGGCGAAAUGCUGAUCCAGCCAUGCCGCGUGUGUGAAGAAGGUCUUCGGAUUGUAAAGCACUGUAAGUUGGGAGGCGUUACCAACAGAAUAAGCACCGGCUAACUUCGUGCCAGCAGCCGCGGUAAUUC